UCUUAUAGGGGUUCCUGGGGUUGAGCUUGGGCUAAGGUGUUGGGAUUGGUCACCGAUAACGGCGGCGGGAGCACGAGCUAGGUGUUAGGACAGCGGCCGGAACGUGAGGUGGGGCAGCAGUUCGGCAGCACAGCCUCGAGCGUAAGGGGGCGGGGGCUCGAGGUGGGGCUGUAGAUGGACAGGAACGUGAGGUGGGGAAGGGGAGCUCGAGGUAGGGUUCCGGCUCGGCGGCAGAAGCUCUAGGUGUAUGUUGGCGGCAGGAGCCCGGCGGGGGAGCUGUAGGUCGGCAGCAGGAGCGGUUAGGGGCGGGACGACGACGGCCCCGGGGUAGAGGCCGAGGGGGGUAACGACGUGGACGACAACGGUCCGGAGGUAGAGACCCGAGGGCGACGACGGCCAGGACGACGUUAACCUGGACGAUGACGGCCAGGACGACGUUACCCUGGACGACGACGACCCCUAGGUAGGGGAAGCUCGACGCGGGGAGAGCUUCGGUCGGCAGCGGUACGGGAUUC
rnacentral:rRNA from 1 species